AGCCUCCUGCAGACUGAAAACAAUAAAGAGAUUCCACAGGGAUAUGUCUUGGUGGGACUAGAAAGGUGCUGUUUCCAUAUUGCUGAUCUCUGAGGGAAUUGUUCCAGUGUAAGCUCUUUCUGAAAUUAUUUUUCCUCCAGAGAGGGAGGAUUGCAGCCCCAAACUUGAUUCUGAGGGGUCCAGGAUAUUCAAGCCUUCAAAGGUCAUUCAGACACAAACUAAGACAGACCAUCUAGCAAGCAUGCGGGGAUUGAGUUCAAAAUCAAAUCUAGGUAUAUUCAGCAAACUUUAUUCCUCUCUCAAGAGUUCAUCCAUCAGUUUCAGCCUCCAUCUAAGCUGGGGAAAUGUGG